AACGCGAAGAACCUUACCUGGGCUUGACAUGCUGGUGAAAGCCGGUGGAAACACCGGGCCCUCUUCGGAGCGCCAGCACAGGUGCUGCAUGGCUGUCGUCAGCUCGUGUCGUGAGAUGUUGGGUUAAGUCCCGCAACGAGCGCAACCCUCGCUCCCAGUUGCCAGCGGUUCGGCCGGGGACUCUGGGGGGACUGCCGGCGUUAAGCCGGAGGAAGGUGGGGACGACGUCAAGUCAUCACGGCCCUUACGUCCAGGGCGACACACGUGCUACAAUGCCCGGUACAGCGCGUCGCGAACUCGCGAGAGGGAGCCAAUCGCUAAAAGCCGGGCUAAGUUCGGAUUGCAGUCUGCAACUCGACUGCAUGAAGCCGGAAUCGCUAGUAAUCGCGGAUCAGCCACGCCGCGGUGAAUCCGUUCCCGGGCCUUGUA
rnacentral:rRNA from 2 species